CACCAGUUGUGGGCAGAGAGAUCGUUAUAUUCGGAGACACCUGUAAUAGUGACCAAAUACUAGGUUUGACCAUUUCUCCAGAUAUAUUUAUCCACGAAGCAACUAUGGAGAAUAAGUUAAAGGAGAAAUGUGUAGAAGUUGGACACUCAACCCCUGACAUGGCCGCCGAUAUUGCUCUAAGAGCAAGAGCAAAUCUACUUGU